rnacentral:rRNA from 1 species
UGGACUUUGAUUUUAUUUGUGUAGGAUAGGUGGGAGACUUUGAAGCCAAAACGCUAGUUUUGGUGGAGUCGUCCUUGAAAUACCACCCUUGUAAAGUUGAGGCUCUAACUUAGGUCCGUAAUCCGGAUCGAGGACAGUGUGUGCUGGGUAGUUUGACUGGGGCGGUCUCCUCCCAAAGAGUAACGGAGGAGUACGAAGGUAUCCUCAGCACGGUCGGACAUCGUGCAAUGAGCGCAAAGGUAAAAG